rnacentral:rRNA from 1 species
CCUACGGGAGGCAGCAGUGAGGAAUCUUCCACAAUGGGCGAAAGCCUGAUGGAGCAACGCCGCGUGCAGGAUGAAGGCCUUCGGGUUGUAAACUGCUUUUAUAAGUGAGGAUUAUGACAGUAACUUAUGAAUAAGGAUCGGCUAACUACGUGCCAGCAGCCGCGGUCAUACGUAGGAUCCGAGCGUUAUCCGGAGUGACUGGGCGUAAAGAGUUGCGUAGGUGGUUCGAUAAGCGAAUAGUGAAAUCUGGUGGCUCAACCAUUCAGACUAUUAUUCGAACUGUUGAACUCGAGAGCAGAAGAGGUAGCUGGAAUUUCUAGUGUAGGAGUGAAAUCCGUAGAUAUUAGAAGGAACACCGAUGGCGUAGGCAGGCUACUGGGCUGUUUCUGACACUGAGGCACGAAAGCGUGGGGAGCGAACCGGAUUAGAUACCCCAGUA